rnacentral:sRNA from 1 species
CCUGCAGUGGCGUAUAUCGCCAAACUAAAUCAGUUCCUCCCCAUCAAACAUCUCUUACUACACUGGAACCCACACCAAGAAAUCUCCGAUACAAACGUUUGAGUGGGCGGAUGACGGUUCCAAACAUACCCUCUUGAAGGUGUGACAAACCAAUUGUCAUACCAACCGGUCCCAGUGCGAUCCGAUACGUAUAGGCAUCGAUUUGAUUGCAAAGAAGUGGCUAAAACAGCUAAGAAGAUAGGUCCCGGAAUGUUUUAAGGACAAGGCGGCUGCGCUAGAGGCGCCAUAUAACGAAGGCCCUGGUAAAAUAAGGAAUUGGAGGCUAUGCCUAAGCGAUUCAUCAAGGA